UACAGAGGGUGCAAGCGUUGUUCGGAAUGAUUGGGCGUAAAGCGUCCGCAGGUGGCGAUGUAAGUCUGCUGUUAAAGAGUGAGGCUCAACCUCAUAAGAGCAGUGGAAACUACAUAGCUAGAGUACGUUCGGGGCAGAGGGAAUUCCUGGUGUAGCGGUGAAAUGCGUAGAGAUCAGGAAGAACAUCGGUGGCGAAGGCGCUCUGCUGGACCAUAACUGACACUCAGGGACGAAAGCUAGGGGAGCGAAUGGG
rnacentral:rRNA from 1 species